GUUCAGUUAGUCAGUCGAGAAGUUUGGUAAGUACAUCAUCAGUCAGUCUGUCAAGUUUAGUUAGUGGAUCAGUCAGUCAGUCAAGAAGUUCAGUAAGUAUACAUAAGUCAGUCAGGAAGUUUAGUUGGUACAUCAGUCAGUCAGGAAGUUUAGUAAGUACAUCAGUCAGUCAGUCAAGAAGUUUAGUAAGUACAUCAGUCAGUCAGUCAGGAAGUUUAGUAAGUACAUCAGUCAGUCAGUCAGGAAGUUUAGUAAGUACAUCAGUCAGUCAGUCAGUCAAGAAGUUUAGUAAGUACAUCAGUCAGUCAGUCAGGAAGUUUAGUAAGUACACCAGUCAGUCAGGCAGGAAGUUUAGUAAGUACAUCAGUCAGUCAGUCAAGAAGUUUAGUAAGUACAUCAGUCAGUCAGUCAGUCAAGAAGUUUAGUUAGUGGGUCAGUCAGUCAGUCAGUCAUGAAGUUCAGUAAGUGCAUCAGUAAGUCAGUCAAGCCAUCGUGUAUCAGCAACAUCUCCAUUCACUCCUUCAGUCAGUCAGUAUUUCAGGAACAAUCAGUCACAUUCAGAUCAGUAUGAACAAACACCAAAAAUCAUUACUUAUCAAAAUCAACUAACUACUAAAAGGAUCAGUGAACUUAUCAACAAAACAGAUCAACUUACAGAGGACAUUCAGAUCAGUAUGAAUAAACACCAAAAAUCAUUACUUAUCAAAAUCAACUGACUCAUAAAAGGAUCAGUGAACUUAUCAACAAUACAGAUCAACUUUCAGAGGAACCAACAAUCAUCAUCAAGAGGUAGGAGUAAAUAGGAUAAAUAUAAAUGAUGAGUAAAUCCCUGUUCAAAAUACCUUGCCAUAUAGCCCCUCCCCCUUCUGCCAUUCCUUACAUAUCAUUGGCUAACCCACAAGCAAGCCACGCCCCCUUUCAACUCAGGCAGCAUGUGAUUGGUGGAUGCUGGACUGGGAUGGGCAGGGCAUAUUCACCAAGGUAAUUUGAACAGGCUAUACAAAUUUCUUAAUGAGUCCAUAGAUCAGUGUAUAUUAAGAAUCUAUGGAAAUUUUUUUGAGUACGUAAUGCAGAAAUCAGAUAAGAAUUGGCUAAGAAUAUUUUCAGUAGUAGAAAUCAACUGAGAAAAUUUUGAAUGAUGUAGAAAUUAGUGAAGAAUUGAUUUAGAAUAUUUUGAGUAAUGCAGAAAUCAAAUAAGAAUUGGCUAAGAAUAUUUUUAGUAAGGUAGAAAUCAACAGAGAAAAUUUCGAAUGAUGCAGAAAUCAGUGAAGAAUUGACAGAAUAUUUUGAGUAAUGUAGAAAUUAACUGAACAUUUUAAGUGAAACAGAAAUGAACCGGGAAUAUUUUGUUUGGCAGAAAUCUGUAUAUUAUGAAUCGACUGAGAAUAUUUUGAGUAAUGUAGAAAUCAAAUGAUAAUAUUCUGAUUAAUGUAGAAAUCAGUAUUAGGAAUCAACUGGGAAUAUAAGGAAUUUUUCUAAACUUAUGAUAAAAAUAUAGAUACUUCAACAAAUUAACUUAGAAUAUUUAGAGUUUAACAGAAAGCAAUGUUACAAAUCAUCUGAGAAUACCUUGAAUUAGUGGAAAAGUAAGUACAAUGAAUUAGAACUUGAGAAUAAUUUGAGGAUAUAAUUAAUUUUUCUAGAGUUUGGAUGAAAAAAAAUAUAGGUAGGUUAGCAAAUCAACUAAAAAUAUUAAUGGAAAUCAGUAUUAUGAAUCAGAACUUUGAGAAUAAUUUGAGAAUAUAAGUAAUUUUUCUAGUGGUGGCAUUAAAAAUAUAAAUACUUCAAUAGCUUAACCCGGUAGCAGCGGGGAUCAUGUUUCUUAAUGGUCCCUCUAAGCGAGAAAAAUGAGAAAAAAUCAUCACUCACACAAACCAUUUCAUAAUAUAUAUCAAUGCAUUUGUGAUCAGAUUAUGUAUCAUUUUUCGGGGGGUUUACAUCAUGGCACAAAUUUGGCCCGUCGCUGGUACACGGUAAACCCACAAAUUUGUCCCGUUGCUGCUACCGGGUUAACAGAAUAUUUUGAAUGAUGUGGAAAUGAACUAAGAAUAUUUUAGAGUUAAACAGAAAUAAGUCUUAUCAAUCAGAAUGUGAGAAUAAUUUGAGGAUAUAAGUAAUUUUUUCUAGUGUUAGAAUUAAAAAUAUAUAAAUACUUCAACAAAUCAACAGAGAAUAUUUUGAGUUUAACAAAUAAAUAUUACCUUUUCAAAACGAAGAAAAAAGACAAUUUGAUUUUUUUUUUUUUUAUGAAACAAACAAUAUUUUUUUCUUCCUUUUCAAAACGGAGAAAAAAAGACGAUUUGAUAUUUUGGGCGAAAUGAAUGAUAUUUUUUUUUCUCUCAAAUCAACUUGGAAUAUUUUGAGUUAGUGCAGGAUAAAAAAUAUGAAUCAGAACUUUAGAAUAAUGUGACAGGUUUUUUUUCUGGAGUUCAAAUAAAAAUAUAGAUACUCAACAAUCAAAAGUAUAAACAUAACAAUUGAACGGAGCAUAAAAAAUAAGGACUAGAAGCUCUGGUGACAAGUUAAGCUGCGGCGUUAUUGCACUUACAAGUAUUUAAGGAAAGAUAACAAAGAGAGGGAUGAUUAAAGAAAGAUAAUAAUACUGAACACAUAACAAGGAACUUAAGUGUGUAAUAGGAUUUAAUAGUGGAUGUUUAUGGUCUCUCUCUCUCUCUCUCUCUCUCUCUCAAAGACGAUACAUAAAAUUAGGAAGAGACAAACAGAAAAGAAAAGAAAAUAGAUGGAAAAAAUUACCUAAUAAACAAAACUGAGACAGGAUCUCUCUCUCUCUCUCUCUCUCUCUCUCUCUCUCUCUCUCUCUCUCUCUCUCUCUCUCUCUCUCUCUCUCUCUCA